rnacentral:rRNA from 2 species
CUUCGGGUCGUAAAGCUCUGUUGUGAGGGAAGAAGCGGUACCGUUCGAAUAGGGCGGUACCUUGACGGUACCUCACCAGAAAGCCACGGCUAACUACGUGCCAGCAGCCGCGGUAAUACGUAGGUGGCAAGCGUUGUCCGGAAUUAUUGGGCGUAAAGCGCGCGCAGGCGGCUUCUUAAGUCUGAUGUGAAAUCUCGGGGCUCAACCCCGAGCGGCCAUUGGAAACUGGGGAGCUUGAGUGCAGAAGAGGAGAGUGGAAUUCCACGUGUAGCGGUGAAAUGCGUAGAGAUGUGGAGGAACACCAGUGGCGAAGGCGACUCUCUGGUCUGUAACUGACGCUGAGGCGCGAAAGCGUGGGGAGCAAACAGGAUUAGAUACCCUGGUAGUCCACGCCGUAAACGAUGAGUGCUAGGUGUUAGGGGUUUCGAUGCCCGUAGUGCCGAAGUUAACACAUUAAGCACUCCGCCUGGGGAGUACGGCCGCAAGGCUGAAACUCAAAGGAAUUGACGGGGACCCGCACAAGCAGUGGAGCAUGUGGUUUAAUUCGAAGCAACGCGAAGAACCUUACCAGGUCUUGACAUCCUUUGACCACCCAAGAGAUUGGGCUUCCCCUUCGGGGGCAAAGUGACAGGUGGUGCAUGGUUGUCGUCAGCUCGUGUCGUGAGAUGUUGGGUUAAGUCCCGCAACGAGCGCAACCCUUGAUCUUAGUUGCCAGCAUUGAGUUGGGCACUCUAAGGUGACUGCCGGUGACAAACCGGAGGAAGGUGGGGAUGACGUCAAAUCAUCAUGCCCCUUAUGACCUGGGCUACACACGUGCUACAAUGGAUGGUACAAAGGGCAGCGAAGCCGCGAGGUGAAGCCAAUCCCAUAAAGCCAUUCUCAGUUCGGAUUGCAGGCUGCAACUCGCCUGCAUGAAGCCGGAAUUGCUAGUA